UACGUAGGGGGCAAGCGUUGUCCGGAUUUAUUGGGCGUAAAGAGCGUGUAGGCGGCUUUACAGGUCCGUUGUGAAAACUCGAGGCUCAACCUCGAGACGUCGAUGGAAACCAUCUGGCUAGAGUCCGGAAGAGGAGAGUGGAAUUCCUGGUGUAGCGGUGAAAUGCGCAGAUAUCAGGAAGAACACCUAUGGCGAAGGCAGCUCUCUGGGGACGGUACUGACGCUGAGGAGCGAAAGCGUGGGGAGCGAACAGG
rnacentral:rRNA from 1 species